CCGCGUGCCGGCCGGGGGACGGA
rnacentral:siRNA from 1 species